rnacentral:rRNA from 1 species
GAUGAACGCUGGCGGCGUGCCUAAUACAUGCAAGUCGAGCGAACGGACGAGAAGCUUGCUUUUCUGAUGUUAGCGGCGGACGGGUGAGUAACACGUGGAUAACCUACCUAUAAGACUGGGAUAACUUCGGGAAACCGGAGCUAAUACCGGAUAAUAUUUUGAACCGCAUGGUUCAAAAGUGAAAGACGGUCUUGCUGUCACUUAUAGAUGGAUCCGCGCUGCUUUAGCUAGUUGGUAAGGUAACGGCUUACCAAGGCAACGAUGCAUAGCCGACCUGAGAGGGUGAUCAGCCACACUGGAACUGAGAAACGGUCCAGACUCCUACGGGAGGCAGCAGUAGGGAAUCUUCCGCAAUGGGCGAAAGCCUGACGGAGCAACGCCGCGUGAGUGAUGAAGGUCUUCGGAUCGUAAAACUCUGUUAUUAGGGAAGAACAUAUGUGUAAGUAACUGUGCACAUCUUGACGGUACCUAAUCAGAAAGCCACGGCUAACUACGUG